AAAUACCUGGGGUGUUCGUUGAAACUCCUGCUAUUUUGAACCUACAUUACGUUUAUGGGAUUCCAACAUUUUUAAGUUUAUGCCAGGCCGCACCGAAUCAGUGGAAGGCAGAAGGCUUAUCUGAGGUUACCCACCUAGCUUGGCUAGGCGUCAGAAUGCAGGCGACGGCAUUUUGGGUUUUUA
rnacentral:other from 1 species